rnacentral:rRNA from 1 species
UACAGAGGGUGCAAGCGUUGUUCGGAAUUACUGGGCGUAAAGGGUCCGUAGGCGGUGCGGUAAGUCGGGAGUGAAAUCUCUGGGCUUAACUCAGAGGCUGCUUCCGAAACUACCGUGCUAGAGUGCGAGAGAGGCAAGUGGAAUUGCGGGUGUAGCGGUGAAAUGCGUAGAUAUCCGCAGGAACAUCCGAGGCGAAAGCGGCUUGCUGGAUCGCAACUGACGCUGAGGGACGAAAGCUAGGGGAGCAAACAGG